rnacentral:sRNA from 1 species
ACACAACCAGGGAGCAAAUCAACCAGCACAUUUAAAGCAGCCUUUUUAACCCUGAGACUUUCCAAGAUCUCCUCUUCACACAGGAAGUUUCCUUCUCUGUUGUCAGAUUUAGCACUGUGCUCUUGUCAUCAGAUCCGAGCUAGGCUCCCUGCUGCACAGUAGAGAGGCUUCCUUAAGACAUUUGUCCUUGAAACUGCACCAAACUCUUGGAAGAACCCAGAACGUAGCUGACAAUUUACUGGUUCAUCAAUGAAACAAUAUUAAAUUAUGAAGAUGUAAGGAAAAAAUCCUACGCUAACACUGUCGCAGUUUGAAAGCUUUAAAAAGUUGAAGUCUAUUGGAAACCUUCUUAUAAGAAACCUUCCUAGUCAGAGAAUUCAACUUUCUUCUUUUCUUCAUUCAUGAAAAUGCAGAUCCACUGAGAAAGGGAAUAAGGGUGAAAAUAUAUAUGGGAAAAAUUCUUCCAAAAUGGAGCCUGACAUUGACCCCUAGAGCUUAAAGCCUAACCGGACAGACUCU